GCAGAGGACUGGAGUUUGACACCCCUGCUCUACAAGGUGUCCGGUUAAAUUUUGUUUUUCUCAGGAAUGUUCUCAUAUCAGUGGGGAAGUCUGUUUGUACAGAGCACUGAAGGAUGAGAGCUUCAGGAACCUCUGCUGGUAUCGACAGGGAUUUUCAAAAGACUGCAUCUGAUUGAAGGUUGGUCGUCUUCAUUCUCUGGGUCAGACUCUGGCGCCAACAUGAUGGAUGGACAAGUCUUCUGUUGUUGACAGCUUUAAUAAACUUUAGAAAUUAAAGUUUCUCUGCCGGUCGAUAAUCAUGUCACUGUUAUCAAACCAGGAAAACGGCUGAACAGGAUGGAGUGGACCACUGUGCGUCCUGUAAGGGCUGGGGCGUCAAAUGUCUCAAUCACAUUAAAAAAGACGCAGCAAAACAAGUUUCUGUAAAACGCCUCAGGACUGGUAAACGAGGGCCAAGAAUUCAGACCAACACAUUGAAGUUUACUUUAUGUAGACCAUAAGUGAAUGAUGGCUGAUGUUUUCUACGCUGAGCCUCGGGUGGAUGGAAGCAGCCAUGAUGAGCCGCUGUGCUAUAACUGAGCUUCAGCUCUGCUGCUGCCAUGUUUAUCCUCACUGAUCAGCAGGAAACCUGAAGCUGAGACAACGAUCAGAAACACAAGAACACAAACAGAAUCUGCAGCUCUGCUCCUACAAACACUAAAGGCCUGCAAACGCUUCACCUCAGGUUUAAUUUGGUUGUUUGAAAGGCUCAGCCCUGCAGACUGCUGUUACAACAUGCAACCUGGGCUUUCAUCAGAGGGACUGCAAAUGGAUUCAGUGCAAAAUGAAAAAAUAACAGCAAAAUACCAGCCACUGUGGGAAGAGAAAAUAAAAACUUCAGAUUGCAUUAAGGAGUAAGAAACCAAACUGUAUUCGUAUAAAACUUUUCACACACAACAUGCAUACAUCAAACAGCCUAAAACUAGUUAAGCCAAUCUGAGUCAAUCAGCUGCAUUAUAAAAAUAAAUCAACAGAAUCAAGGCAGCGCAAAGUUCAAG